rnacentral:lncRNA from 12 species
GGCUAUUGUACCACACUUUAUUACCUAGUGAAAUGUAAUUUGAUCCAUUUGCAGGAGGAAGAACCAGAGAUGCUUGUUUCAGAAUUCAAUUGUUCCAGAAAGAUAAAAUCUAAGAAGAGAAGUGUAUCUUUGAGAUCCUACCAUGAUUUUGGAAGAUAUUUCACAAUUUCAUUAUUCUGAUCUACUAAUCCAGAG